rnacentral:lncRNA from 1 species
AGUCGGCGGCGUCCAAGAGAGUAGCGCCUAUGUUCAGCAUCACAAAGGACGCUGUCAAGCCAGCGAGGUCAACAAUCGGCGAGGUCGAGCAUGAACGACCUGACCAGCAUGGCAGUGCCAAGUGCGCCACGAGUACCUUCACUCGAGUAAAUGUUCCGAGUGUCUUCAAGGUUGAUCCAUUGCAAACUUCUUCAGGCAAUGUGUUGAUAAAUAGGUGUUAGUCACAAACAUUGUACUCCAGGGUGAAUAAUCAGUGGUCUCCGCAGUAAAGAAAACACAAGAAUAUAUAUAACAACUAUCAAUUACCGGAGAAAUACUAAAUUGUUCUCUCGCUUCAGGCAAUAAUGAAUAGCAAGCAAUUAGUAAUACUCUGCGAGCUUCGGGCAAUGAAUUAGUGUUGAAAGUGAAAAUGUAAGAAAGAAAUAACUAAAAACUGUUCAGAAGCUUCAGGCAAUCCAUAACUGAAGCGAGAACCGUCAAAGCGUAGAGCUCCUAGUUUGGCGAUGACGACAACGCCUUUCCUCCCAGCCUUAGCCGUGCCUCCUCAACUUGCAUGUGGAUCCGCCCAGAAGUGAUCAUGGGAGCAAAUAAAACAUGCAGGCAUUAAGAUUGAUUCAUUUGUAUUUUGUGUUGUAUAACAAAC